rnacentral:rRNA from 1 species
AGUGAACGCUGGCGGUAGGCCUAACACAUGCAAGUCGAACGGCCGCACAGUAAGAGCUUGCUCUUACGGGUGGCGAGUGGCGGACGGGUGAGGAAUACAUCGGAUUCUUCUUUUUCGUGGGUGAUAACGUAGGGAAACUUCCGCUAAUACCGCAUACGACCUACGGGUGAAAGCAGGGGAUCUUCGCACUUUUCGUGAUUGUAUGAGCCGAUGUCGGAUUAGCUAGUUGGCGGGGUAAAGGCCCACCAAGGCGACGAUCCGUAGCUGGUCUGAGAGGAUGAUCAGCCACACUGGAACUGAGACACGGUCCAGACUCCUACGGGAGGCAGCAGUGGGGAAUAUUGGACAAUGGGCGCAAGCCUGAUCCAGCCAUACCGCGUGGGUGAAGAAGGCCUUCGGGUUGUAAAGCCCUUUUGUUGGGAAAGAAAAGCAGCAGGUUAAUACCCCGCUGUUCUGACGGUACCCAAAGAAUAAGCACCGGCUAACUUCGUG